rnacentral:tRNA from 1 species
GGAGCUGUGUCUCAGUGUUAGAGCGUUUUCCUAGCAUGUAUGAGGUACUGAGUUUGAUCCUCAGCACCA